UACAGAGGGGGCAAGCGUUGUUCGGAAUUACUGGGCGUAAAGGGCGCGUAGGCGGCCUGCUAAGUCGAACGUGAAAUCCCCGAGCUCAACUCGGGAACUGCGUCCGAUACUGGCAGGCUUGAAUCCGGGAGAGGGAUGCGGAAUUCCAGGUGUAGCGGUGAAAUGCGUAGAUAUUGGGAAGAACACCGGUGGCGAAGGCGGCGAGCUGGCCUUGAACUGACGCUGAGGCGCGACAGCGUGGGGAGCAAACAGG
rnacentral:rRNA from 1 species